AGAGUUUGAUUCUGGCUCAGGAUGAACGCUAGUUACAGGCUUAACACAUGCAAGUCGAGGGGCAGCAUCAGGUUAGCUUGCUAAUCUGGAUGGCGACCGGCGCACGGGUGAGUAACGCGUAUCCAACCUUCCCCCCUGCUCAGGGAUAGCCCGGUGAAAACCGGAUUAAGACCUGAUAGUUUCACUAGAUGGCAUCUGACGGUGAAUAAAGGUUUUCGGCAAGGGAUGGGGAUGCGUCUGAUUAGCUUGUUGGCGGGGUAACGGCCCACCAAGGCGACGAUCAGUAGGGGUUCUGAGAGGAAGGUCCCCCACAUUGGAACUGAGACACGGUCCAAACUCCUACGGGAGGCAGCAGUGAGGAAUAUUGGUCAAUGGGCGGAAGCCUGAACCAGCCAAGUAGCCGUGCAGGAAGACGGCCCUAUGGGUUGUAAACUGCUUUUGUGCGGGAAUAAAGUCAGGGACGCGUCCCUGUUUGCAUGUACCGCAAGAAUAAGGACCGGCUAAUUCCGUGCCAGCCGCGGC
rnacentral:rRNA from 1 species